rnacentral:rRNA from 1 species
AUGACCACCAGCCGCCGCCACCACCACCGCUGCUCGCCGACGAAGGAUCCGCUGGACGACGACGACCUCCUCGCUGAGAUCCUCCUCCGCCUCCCCCCACAGCCGUCCUCCCUCCCUCACGCCUCCCUCGUCUGCAAGUGGUGGCGCGGCCUCGUCUCCGACCCCCGAUUCCGACGCAGCUUCCGCCUCCACCACCGCCGCAACCCUCCCCUCCUCGGCUUCUUCGGCAGAGACAACGCCCUCUCCUUCGUACCUACUCUCGAGGCCCCCAAUCGCGUCCCGCCUGGCCGCUUCUCCUUGCAGCGCGGCUACGGCGACCGCUUCGUCUCCCUCGGAUGCCGCCAUGGCCUCGUACUCAUCUUCAACGUGCCGCGGAACCAAGUCCUGGUGUGGGACCCCGUCACCGGCGACCAGCGCCGCCUUGCCAUUCCCCCGGAGGUUGCGACAUAUGCAGAGAUGGCAACGACCAAUGGGGCGGUGCUUCACGCUGCUGGAGACGUCCAGAAAUUCCAGGUGGUCUUGGUGGUGGCAGAGGUCGAGGACGAAGAACACAAGCGAGCGGUCGCCUGUAUCUACUCAUCGGAGACCGGCUUAUGGGGUGAUCCCACCUCAGCACCGCUUCCAUCGGGUCAUGAUCCCACCUUGAUUCGUCACUCCGCUGUGCUGGCUGAGCAUUCUCUUUACUGGAUGCUUGCUUCGAUGCUUCUUGAGAAUUUUGUUGGAAUUCUCGAGUUUGAUUUGGAGAAGCACAGCCUAGCUGUGAUACAGGUGCCAGUACAUAUGCUUGAACAGAGCCAACACCGAUUCUCGAUUAUGCGGGCAGAGGGUGAUGGCCUUGGUCUACUCUUCUAUAAGGACCGCGGUUUCCAGUUAUGGAAGAGGGUGACUGAUUAUAAUGGUGUUGCUUCAUGGGGGCUGGGAAGAACUAUUGGACUGGACAAGCUUUCCGUGAAUCUAGAAGGGAAUGACAUAAUGAUACUAGGGUUCGCUGACGAAAAUAAUGUGGUGUUUGUCUGCACACGUGACAUCCGCUUUAUGGUCCAUCUUGAGUCAUCACAGUGCCAGAAACUGAUGGGAACCUAUUCUCAUUAUCAUCAUCCAUUCGAAAGUGUGUACACUGCAGGUAAUAGCAUGCCUUCGAUACUGCUUGUAACAAAAUCCAGUUAA